AUGAGGUUUGGUCCAUCUCUCAGAGGAACUGGCUGGUACAAGAUUGUCUGGCAAGGUGUCGAAGGAGCUGGCCAGUUAGGCACUAUCACCAAGCUCCCUGGACAUGAAGAUGUUGGUUGUGUUUGGAAAAGGUUCUGAGAAUGCAGUGGUGGAUUGGACUCACUCUCUGCCAUGUGAGGACACGGAGAGAAGAUGGCCCUCUAUGAACCAGGCAGCAGGCCCUCACUAGACACUGAGUCAGCUGGCACCUUGAUCUUGAACUUCCCAGCCUCCAAAACUGUGAGAAAUAUGUUUGUUUAAGCCACCCAGUCUAUGCUGUUUUUGUUAUAGCAGCCUGAAUGGAUGAAAACAUCCUCCUA
rnacentral:lncRNA from 1 species